CUGAAUAGGGCGCUUAGUCAGAUGCUGCAGACCCGAAACGAAGUGAUCUAUCCAUGAGCAAGUUGAAGCUAGUGUAAGAACUAGUGGAGGACUGAACCCAUAGGCGUUGAAAAGCCCCGGGAUGACUUGUGGAUAGGGGUGAAAGGCCAAUCAAACUUCGUGAUAGCUGGUUCUCUCCGAAAUAUAUUUAGGUAUAGCGUUGUGUCGUAAUAUAAGGGGGUAGAGCACUGAAUGGGCUAGGGCAUACACCAAUGUACCAAACCCUAUCAAACUCCGAAUACCUUAUAUGUAAUCACAGCAGUCAGGCGGCGAGUGAUAAAAUCCGUCGUCAAGAGGGAAACAACCCAGACUACCAGCUAAGGUCCCUAAAUCUUACUUAAGUGGAAAACGAUGUGAAGUUACUUAAACAACCAGGAGGUUGGCUUAGAAGCAGCCAUCCUUUAAAGAAAGCGUAAUAGCUCACUGGUCUAGUGAUUUUGCGCGGAAAAUAUAACGGGGCUAAAGUAAGUACCGAAGCUGUAGACUUGCGCACAACUUAGAUUAUUUAAGUUUAGAAUAUGAGAAACUAAGUUAUAUGUUUAGUUAUAUUUUUACUGAUUUUUAUAGAGUAAAGAUAGAAAUAAAACUUAGUAAAAUCAGUAAAAAUAUUCUUAGAUUAAAGUUAAGUAGUUUAAGUUGUGUGCAAGUGGUAGGAGAGCGUUCUAUUUGCGUCGAAGGUAUACCGGUAAGGAGUGCUGGAGCGAAUAGAAGUGAGCAUGCAGGCAUGAGUAGCGAUAAUUAAUGUGAGAAUCAUUAACGCCGUAAACCCAAGGUUUCCUACGCGAUGCUCGUCAUCGUAGGGUUAGUCGGGUCCUAAGUCGAGUCCGAAAGGGGUAGACGAUGGCAAAUUGGUUAAUAUUCCAAUACCAACAUUAGUGUGCGAUGGAAGGACGCUUAGGGCUAAGGGGGCUAGCGGAUGGAAGUGCUAGUCUAAGGUCGUAGGAGGUUAUACAGGCAAAUCCGUAUAACAAUACUCCGAGAACUGAAAGGCUUUUUGAAGUCUUCGGAUGGAUAGAAGAACCCCUGAUGCCGUCGAGCCAAGAAAAGUUUCUAAGUUUAGCUAAUGUUGCCCGUACCGUAAACCGACACAGGUGGGUGGGAUGAGUAUUCUAAGGCGCGUGGAAGAACUCUCUUUAAGGAACUCUGCAAAAUAGCACCGUA
rnacentral:rRNA from 1 species